rnacentral:rRNA from 1 species
GUAACCUCGCCUGUAAUACUGGGAUAACUCCGGGAAACCGGGGCUAAUACCGGAUGGUUGUUUGAACCGCAUGGUUCAAACAUAAAAGGUGGCUUCGGCUACCACUUACAGAUGGACCCGCGGCGCAUUAGCUAGUUGGUGAGGUAACGGCUCACCAAGGCAACGAUGCGUAGCCGACCUGAGAGGGUGAUCGGCCACACUGGGACUGAGACACGGCCCAGACUCCUACGGGAGGCAGCAGUAGGGAAUCUUCCGCAAUGGACGAAAGUCUGACGGAGCAACGCCGCGUGAGUGAUGAAGGUUUUCGGAUCGUAAAGCUCUGUUGUUAGGGAAGAACAAGUACCGUUCGAAUAGGGCGGUACCUUGACGGUACCUAACCAGAAAGCCACGGCUAACUACGUGCCAGCAGCCGCGGUAAUACGUAGGUGGCAAGCGUUGUCCGGAAUUAUUGGGCGUAAAGGGCUCGCAGGCGGUUUCUUAAGUCUGAUGUGAAAGCCCCCGGCUCAACCGGGGAGGGUCAUUGGAAACUGGGGAACUUGAGUGCAGAAGAGGAGAGUGGAAUUCCACGUGUAGCGGUGAAAUGCGUAGAGAUGUGGAGGAACACCAAUGGCGAAUGCGACUCUCUGGUCUGUAACUGACACUGAGGAGCGAAAGCGUGGGGAGCGAACAGGAUUAGAUACCCUGGUAGUCCACGCCCGUAAACGAUGAGUGCUAAGUGUUAGGGGGUUUCCGCCCCUUAGUGCUGCAGCUAACGCAUUAAGCACUCCGCCUUGGGGAGUACUGUCGCAGACUGAAACUCAAAGGAAUUGACGGGGGCCCGCACAGCGGUGGAAGCAUGUGUUUAUAUCGAAGCAACGCUAAGAACCUUACCAGGUCUUGACAUCCUCUGACAAUCCUAGAGAUAGAAGGUCCCCUUCGGGGGCAAAGUGACAGGUGGUGC